GUUAAUACCAAGGUGUUAUGGUUAAUACCAAGGUGUUAUGUUGGUUAAUACCAAGGUGUUAUGUUGGUUAAUACCAAGGUGUUAUGUGGUUAAUACCAAG